AUAGUAGAGUAAAGCACUUGUCGUAAAACCUUGUUGUCACAGUUUCUCCAUGGCUAUUUUAUUGUUUUUAUUGGAUGUUUUGAUUUUGUAUUUUUUUGGAUUCGAUUUUCUUAGUGUGUAGUGUCGGUUUAAUGUUUAUUUUGAUUACUUUUUAUUUAAAAACUAUAAAACAUGGUUCGUCAGUGCCAAAUUUGUAAGAAAUUGGACUAUUUAAGUCCUGGAACAACAUUCCACAGAUUAUGCUGCCAAAGUUUCCUGAAUACAAUUCCGACCACUCUGUAUAUCAAGAUAUCCCCCAUUACGUACUAGUUUUUCUUAAUAAUUUUCUAUACAUUUUCCAACGCCAAGAUGUACCAAGCGCAUACAAAUACAUCAAGCUUCAAACAAGCUUGCACGUUGACAGUAAUACCUACAGUAAUAUUGUAUUAUAUUAAUGUAAUAUUUUUGAACCAAUGUUCAAUAUUACUGUAGUAAUACUGUUUAUACUCAUGCCUUUUAUAUUUGUUUGAAUUUGGUGCAUAUUUCCAUUGAAUAAAGUAUAGUCACCAUUACCAUUAUUAUACUUACUCUAUAAUAAAGACAGUAACGAGUUAAA
rnacentral:lncRNA from 1 species